CGCCGGACGGAUCUGGCAUCCGGGCUGCCGCAACAUGGGCUCCGCACCGCCGGCGGUUUUGACCUCGCCUUCUGCCAGCGGUGGUAGCUGCAUCCCAUGGCCGAGGAUGACUAGGUGGACGGGCCGGAGGUAGGAGGUCACUCGAGGAUUUUUGUUGGUAAGAGCAUGUACAAUGGUUGAUAAUGUAGUCUUAUCUUAAGUCUGCCACGUAUGCAAGUGGUAGUAGUUUCUUGGCAUUUUAGUGGUUUCUUAUUAGAGCAAGUACAAUAGAGCUGAGUCAGCGGGCUAUAAGAAAUAAACUUCUACUACAUGUUGGCUAUAAGAUGGGUUGUAGAUGACAUGGCACCGGCUUAUAGCCAGCAUCUGGCUAUACUAUUAACCAUGCUCUUAGGGUUUUCUUGUAAGGAACAAUGUAUGUACUACUAGCGAUAAAAGGCGAUUCUAGGUUGCGUUGUACUCCAACGAGUACUACUAGUGGUCGCGGGAGUGUAUACCUCGUUUUGUGGGUUCGAUCCCGGCCGAACGCACGGCGGCCUUUUAAAAAAAUAGUACUACUACACUUCGCUGCGAGCCAAUAUUUUACACGGGUAGUUUGAGUUUUGAAGUCAAAUGGACAUGCGGCCCCACAAUAUGGGUGCACUGGACAGCCUAGCCAUGUGAAAGGGUUUUCCUUCCCAGCAUCCUGUGGCUCGCGUGCUCGCCCUAGCCGCACCUCGCUUGCAGCUUCCAGCUAGUAGCAUAUUUAAACUAGCGCCUCCCAAUUAAGCUCGAGUAGCCGGAAAAGCCUGGCGGGGCAUUGUGAACUGUGCAAUAUGGCUCUGUACGUAAAGUGCUCUACUACUACUCUGUAGCUUGUGGCGUUGCAUGCAUGGACUUCACUCCAUUAUCGGCUCUACUAUAAAAGAAAUUCCUCUUGCCGUGUUUUUUUUAAACGGAGGCAAAAGCUUUGCUUCAUCUCAUUCAUAAAGAAGGAACUACUAACAAAGUUCGACGAGAUCCAUUACACCUCCACAAAUGGAAGCGAAAAGCCUAGUCUCGCUGUAUCAAAUAACUCAAAUGUUCUGCCCCCGCAGUAACCGUCGUUGAUAAACAGGCUGCUAGUGUGUGCGUGAGAGGAGCAGCUGAGUAGGCCAGCUACGUGAGAGGAGCGGCUGAAUAGAGCACCAAGAGUACCUACUAGGCCACCACGCAGGUGUACUUCCCCUGCAUUGAUAGUACAGCGAUGGUUCUAGAGAACAGUAGUACCCUCCACUUCCAACUGUAGCUCCCCUGCCCUGAGAUUCAAGAGUUCAAAAUUGGUGCACUAUACUAGACUAGACUAGAAGUACAGUACAUCGCACUACUAGUUGAGAAAAGUAGUACUAGUACUGCUACAGUACAUGUACAAAAAAUUUACUAGUGCUAUUAUUUACAGUAUAAUGCAAUCCCAUAACGUUCCAUAAUCCCUUUCUUUCAAAAAAAUCACUUCUGGAGAGAAGAUUGCUAUCUCCACGCGAGCUUCUCAUAGGCCAGCGCCACCGCAUGCAGUCAUGUGAGAGAGAGGGAGACAUCCAUGCACCAUGCAGAGAGAGGAGAACAUGAGCGGAGAGCCAAUGGGCUACAUGGGGCAUUUGUAGUUGCUAACUCCUCCCAUCCAUGCACCAGGGGUAUUUCCGUCCAGAAAGCAUGCAGCGAGCCCCUGCCUUGGUAUCCGGGUCUGCUCUUAUGCGCAGAGUAAAAAGAAUCGAAGGGAGUACUAGUAGUAAAUAAUAGCCUCACCCCUUCGCUGAGGAACGAUCUACAGUUGGAAGGGACGAGGCCCUGCGGUUACUACGCUCUUAUCUCCUCCUCGCCAGUUCCCCUCCCCCCGAAGAGAAGGCAGUUCGUCGCUGCUCCCAUGGAUUCGCCAGGCGGUUCUCCUCCUCAUCGGGGCUGGGAGACCUUGGACGACGAUCCUGUGGGAGAAAUCACACGCUGCUCCGAUGGCCUCACCGCCGCAAGACUCGGUGCUUCCUGCACCAACUUUUUCAAGACGCUGCUUAAAUAGGCCAUGCUUGUUGGUCUUCCAUGCAUCCUCGAGGAGAAGGUUCUUCUAUGGGAAAAUCCUUCGAUCAGUCCACCGCUCCCUGGCCAUGGUUGCACGUUGACUCCGCUAGAGUUGCCGACGUUGAGAGGUAGUCGGAUUUUGUCCGGUGAGCAGGUCAGUAAUGGAGUUUGAUCAUGUAGUACAUAGUUAUUCCAUUUCCAUCCCGUAAUUUCUCCGCUGCCCACCGUCUUAUAUAUAGGUCUGGGUCUGUGCCAACGAAGACUGGCUUGCAUACCUCCGGCCGGAUACCACCAUCAUUUUGCACAACAUCCACAGCAGUGCGGCCGUUCCGGUAGACCCCUUCUCCAACAUUGGGAUCGGCCUUAUGGACUGGCUGGGCAAGAAUAUGUAUGAUGAUGCCUACAUGAGAUUGAAGAAGAUAGCAAUUGUGGACCCGCCGACAAAGCGACGUGGCUACGACGAUUACUAUCUCAUCGCGGUGUUCGACAUAAGGAUUGCCAUCAAUGCAUGAGGCAGUAACGGCAGAGGCUGGCGCAUGUUGGCGGCGGCAGAUUUGUACCCCUACACGUUCAAAUACGUCGUGCGCCAUCUAGGCCGCAUCUUCGCGGUGACAAGCCAGGGGACUUGUUUCAUCUAGUUGACAUCCUACGGUACGGGAGAUUACAAACGGAAUGCACAAACCAUCAUUUGCAUCCCUAACGGUACUCCAUUAUUUUGCAGGGACCAGUCAUCCCCCGAUCAAAAUAAGAUCGCCGAUCCUGGAUGUGCAUUUGCAUCCAUGAUUCGGUCUAACCUGGAACCUUGUAGCUGACUUUGGCAUAUUGGGAUCAACUAUCUUAGCAGUCGUUACCCAUGGUACCACUGAUGUGCAACAUGGUCACAUAAUCUACCAUGAUCGGACCAUCACCAUCUACCCAGGUAUUCCAUUUUUUAACCCUCUCGCCUUCUCUUUCAUUGUUGUACUCGUAGUAUACUUUGUAGUACUAGUAGGAGUACUUUUUACCUUGGAUGACGCGUAUAGCUAGCUAGGCCCGUGAAGACUUGAACCCACUAGCUGCCACCAUUUUUGUUUUUCCAUGUCUUACUAUCUCAUCCAUGUAGCCAAGAGUGGCUAUAUAUAUUAAGCCGGUUAUUUUACUUCCUCUAUACCGGAGUAGUACUAUUUGUUGCACAGUAUUACUCACCGCCACAUUUGAGCACAACGUUAUUAUGCAUGGACCUUGACUAUGUACGUCACCAUGUGUCCAGAUCUGGGAUGCCGCGUGUACCAGAUGAACGGCGCCGAGUUCGACCCCCGUGAUGCUAUGUGGGUGCCGAGGAACACUCUUAGAGAGUACUCGCUUUUCAUGGGGGACAGCUACCCCAUUGUGAAGCGGAUGCCACCUUCCGUGCACGACACGGAAGGCCUACCAUUCAUGAAGCAUGGUUGUGUCUUCAGUGCGCACCGCCGGAUGAAUGACAUGCUGGGACACGCUAUCCCUAAUUUAUGCCGCUUCAGCUUGGAUGAGUCUCCAUCGUGUGGAACCAGACUAGAAAGUUGCGACAAUGAUUCCCGUUGCCCACCGCUAUGGAUCGUGCCAUCCAUGAGGAACACCUAGGACUAGAACCUGGAGGAGGACAUGUAGCCCAUCUAUAACGUGUAUGUGGAGUACGGUAAUUGUGGACGGUAGCGCUGUGAAUAUAUGUAGACUAGUCAUGCACAAAUUUAUCACAUGAGUUGGAGAUGAACUUGUGUGGCAUACUGGCAUUUGUCCUUCAGAAUUUAUUACUAGUAAAUGUGUUAUGUGUACGUGCAACUUGUGUGGUUGUUGCACGGGCUCCAACACGCUCUUUGAGAAAAAAAGGUGGCACAGCUUUGGAUAUACGUGACGUGGCGGCAUCAUACAGUAGCAUCGUUCGCUAUAGUUGUACUAGUACACUCCUACUAGGACGACAACUCCUAUAAAACCUUGCGCUUGGCUCUUUGCCUCUUCGGGAGGUUCAACAGUCCGUACUCGUGUGAACCUUGCACUUGGCUCUUCGCCUCUUCAGAAGGUCCAACAAUGAUGAUACUACAGUACAAUAUGCUUCUGGCUAUCUGACACCGAUUGAACUGUUGCACGUCCACCGCGAGGGCGAGGGCGAGGGAGAGGGAGAGGGAGAGGGCGCUGUAGUCAAAACCCUCUCCUCGUCCUGCGAACCACCGCGCGCCUGGGCGAGGGAGAGGCGUAGUAAGCAAGCUUCUCCUCGUUCGGCGAGUUGACGGGACACAUCAAAGCAGUACUAGUACUAGUAGUAGUAGUAGUCCAUACUGCGUCCUUUCCGAUUAAUAUGGCUUAAUUUGAAAUGAGAAAAAUACACUGGCGGUCAACGUAUGUAACAAUACGCUCUUUAUGGUCACUAUAUAUAGUUUUGCGGCGAUUAUGCGAUCACUAGCUCAUUGUAGAGCACCGUAUUGCACCCUACUAACCGGCCACAUAGUCGACGUGGCACUUUGUUGACUGGUUAAAUUGUCACCUGGUUUCUGGGUCCCACCUGUCAGUUGGCAGAGCAAAGAAAUCAGUUAAACAAAACUUUACACAGGUGCUCCACGAGUCCAACCCUUGCGCGCGAACCGCCCUGGCUGUGUAUGUGAGUGCAUGCACGUGUCCUCCCUCGGUCUUCCAACAAAGAGUGUACUACAUGAUGUACAUCUACACUUCCAAUGUGUUUAGCCUUUAAUCUAAAUCGAUAUUGAUUGACUAAUGCACCAACUUGUGCUGUAGGUAUAGGCUACAUGUCUAUCCUUAAUUACAGCAUGCAACGGCCUUCAUUUAAUCUUCUCAUCUCAAUGGUCGCAUGCACACAUAAGUCUGCUACUUUUGGGCGUUAAUUAUGCCCUGGUCAAUGUGUAAAUCUCUAAAUGUACAGUCUUUCACGGACGUAGGGAGUAGGUUGAUCACUUGAGUGUGAGCGUGUGUGUUGCGUCGUGUGCUGUGUGCCGCAUGGGUGCGUGAGUGUUGCGUGCGUCCAUGUGUACGUGUGAGUGUUGCAUGUUGCAGGCAUGCAUGCAUGGGGCUUACUCCCUCCCAUUGACAUGUCCAUUUGGCUAUAGAUUUCAACAAGUGACUAGGUACGGAGCAAAAUGAGUGAAGUAAGCGUAGAGGCAUAGGGAUACUGUAGAAAGGAAGUCCUCGCGAUCCAUUUAUUCCCCAUCUUGGUCAGAGAGAACUAUUCAACUAGUCUUCGGAGUGAAGUGACAAUACACACUGCAGCAGAUGGGACACGUAAUUAAUAAGCUGAACCAGCGUGUUGGUGUUACUAAAUCAGUCGGUUAUGUUUGGUAGUCUCAAGUCAUUGAAAGCAUGCACAACCCACAUAUCUUAUUGGUUGAUAUGCCACAAAACAAAAAAACGAAGGGAGUUAAUGUACGGUGCCUAAGUGUUUUGGGAUUAUUUGGUUUUCGUAAGGUGACUUACACACCUAGACGGAGGGAGUAGUAGAAUUGAGAUUGAAUGCACUUUCUUCCCCAUCUACCACUCUUCUUCCUCCUCUCUUCUUCUUCCUCCUCUCUUCCCCAUCGUCGGCCGCACACCAUUUACCCCCGCUCACUGCUCACCCGCCCGCGCCAUCUUCCUUGGUAGCUCAUGCGUACCAUAUCCCCCCGCUCACUGCUCGGCCACACGAGGAGAAGCUUCUUCCCUCGCCCGCCCGAAUCCACUUCCCCGCUGGCUCGCAAGCACCGAAAACCCCAAUGGCAGAACCGACUGACACGCAGAGCCGCGAUUGGAACUCCCUCCCCGAUGUUCACUUGGAGCAGAUCUGUAGUCGUAUGGACCUACUCAGCACCGUCUGUCUGGCCGCAUGCUCGGUGUCUUUGUACCGUCUACUCGUCUGCAACCGGCUGGCUCUUUUCAAGACACCCUGCUUGCUAAUGCCCGAUCCUCACAGGUGGCCCAGACACCGACUUGACGAUCCUACAGAGGUUGCCGUGGUGCCCCUCGACAUGCUACCACUACCCGUCCAUAUGUCCUUCAUGCACGGCCACUACUGGGCGGGCAUGAAGGCCAACUGGAUCGUCCUCAUCCACCACACCGAUAGUCCGUGGCGUCUCGUGGAUAUCUACACCCAGCGAGAGAUCACCCGUCCGUCAUUGGAUACCGCCGCCAUCGAGCCUCGUGGCCCGCCGGACACUCCUGCCUACUACGCACGAGACGCGUCAAGCUUUUGGCUCGACCUCUAUUUACAGAAAGUUGUAAUCUGCGAAGUGCCCAUGCCAUCAGAAGACUACACGGAUUACAAGCUCAUUGCCUUGUUCAACAAGGGAUUAGUCUAUCUGGAAUCCAAUCGCCAUACAUGGUUAUGGCUCAUCAUCAAUCCAGUUGAGGAAACAUUUCUGUCUGAUGCUAUAGUGCAUGAUGGCAUCAUUUACGCGGUCGACGCACAGAUUGGCUACCUAUAUUGGUGGAAUCUAUCGUCAUGUAAUUAUUCUAUCUCAUCUCAUCUUUACCUUAAGAAUACGAUUGCAUGUUCAUUUGUUACAAAUUUAGAAUGCAUAGCAUGUCUAUAACCACAUCAUUGCUAUAUGUUCCUCUCAUUUCCUAGAUUUUUAUGACCACACAUGUUAUUGUUAGAGUUGAUAUGAGAACAAUUGGCACCUAAUGAUUGUUAGAAUACAUAUUAUGGGCAUAACAUCAUGAUUGCUAUAUGUUACUCUCGUUUACAAGAUUUUUAUAACAACACAUGUUAUUGCUUAGAGUUGAUAUGAGAACAGUAGUAGUAAGUGCUAUGGUAGAAUAUGAGUAGGCGCUGUCAUAGAUGUUUUCCUCUCAUUGUUACAUGAUGUUUGAACCAUGACAUAUUGCUAUAAUAUGAAAGCCACUGGCUUAUUUUUUUAACUUGGGGUAUGAUUAUGACCACGGCAUUGCAAUUCUCUGUCUAUGAUAUGUGUCACUGUUAUAAUAAUCUUAAUUCCACACAUCCUCUGAACAUGAUUGUUUAUUUUUGUCCUUUUGGUCUCCAAUUUGAAUUGUUGCAGCAGACGCAAAUGCGCUGGCCUUCAUGAUUCCAGGACCUGGAAUCAUACCAGCCGAUGGGUGGUGGUUUAUCACUCAUUCAGCUGACGACGGUCAUUUAAUGCUCAUUUGCACGUACCAAAUUGAUCAAACCACAUGCAGUACAAUGCGUGGGGCGUUCGUGACAUUGAUGGUUAUGGCUGCUUCGUGUUCGAGAAAGAUCCCAGCUCCGUUGGGCCAGGCGUAUUCAACUGGAGGCGGGUUUACAGCCUCGGCAACCACUCCUUGUUCCUCGGGCUCAAUUAUCCGAUCAUCCAACCAAUCAUCGAUCAUAUCACCGGCGAUGAUUACUGUGCUAUGCAACUUCCAUUCGCGAGGGGGGGCUGUGUUUACACAUCCAUGGGUUUCAUGAAUCACCAUAUCCAGAGAUUCGUCGACACAGCUUGUUGCCAGAUAAUCUUCAGUGUGUGAAAGGCAUCAAGCUUCCAUGCGAUGGAUGGCUUUUGCAAACCCGACAUGCGGCGAUGUGGUUCAUGCCAACAGCAAAUGUGCACAACUUGAUUCGUGUUGAUAUCUAGACUGAGCCAUGUAUUCUGCUGCUGUAGCACGACCCUCUUUUGUUGGAUAUUAUGUACUGCUAUUAGUUUGAAGCACUCCUCUAGUUUGAAGGAUAGAUACCUUCCUGGGAUCAAGUGCAUCCUAACUCACCUGCGUAGGAUGUACUGAUAAUGAUGAUGGAGAUGCUGUGCAGAAGCCAUAUAUAUAUCAGUUAGGCUUCAAGUGCGUACUUGUUAGUUAAACCUAUGUAUAAAUCGUGACACUAAAUAUGACUAGCAAGUAGUACAGUAGCAGUACUAGUAUACGUUGGUCAAAUUAUUCAUCAUGUCCACACAUUGAAUUGACAUGACAACACGCUGCGCGUGAGGUGACACAAGAAUCCCGGCGGCGUGUUCGGGUAUUCUGGACUUCAGAUUUGGAGUACCACUUAUAUGUCGAAAUCUUUCAUCAUUCACUUAAAACAAUCGAUUGAUCAUACAUUGAGUACCAUAUAACUGGAGUUACCGAUGCAAGUCGAAGAAGGAUUGGCCCGUGCUGCCGGCUGGCGUCAAGUUCGAUCCCACGGAUUAGGAGCUGAUCGAGCACCUUGAGGCCAAAGUGAGUGCUGACAGCGCGAGAUUUCAGUCUCUCAUCGAUUUGUUCAUACCAACCAUCGACAGCGAGCACGGCAUAUGUUACACCCAACCUGAGAAACUUCCAGGUAAUACAUCGAUCGGCCGUCUACUUGCACAAACAUAUUCCUUUGUUUAUAGCUCUAUUUUUCUUUUUAGACGCAGACCUGGUGAAGCAAUUACAAUUUGACAGUUAAUAAAAAGUGAAACAAGUGACUGCAACAUGCCAAAGAUGUUAUGAAAAUGCCAACUAGGUACACUAAAACAUGUAUUCCACAAUACUGCAGGUAUCACAUUGAGUGACCUAAGGAAGCAUUUCUUCCAGCGCAAUUCCAGGGCAUUCAAAAGGGGCGUGUGGACGCGUCGCAAGAUACAGUCGAAGUGCGGCAUGCACGCGAUGUGGCACAAGACCGGCAAUACCUUGCCGGUGAUGGUCAACGGCCGGCAGACGGAUAGCAAAAAAGGUUUUGGUGCUGCACACCAACAAGAACUUCGACCAGCAGAGGACCAAUUGGGUGAUGCACCAGUACCACCUCGGGGACCUGGAGCAAGAGAAGGAGCGGGAGCUGGUCCUCUGCAAGAUUUUCUACCAGACGAACACUAGGGCCAGGAGUAAAAAAAUUAUAAGUUAGUUUGGUAUUGGUAGUUGUACUACCUUGUCGUCCGCAAGUUGGUAUUGUUGUUAACGAUCUUUUGGUAUGAACUUGCAUUUGCUUCCAACCAUCAUGCCGAGGGUCGACGUGGAUAUAAAGCCGAAUCAUUUGUUUCGAAACGAAUUUUCAGGCACCUGAUUUUUAUUUGAUGGGUAGCAUAAGCACCCGCCAUUCAAAUUCCUAGUUCUUCGAUUUUUUUCGAAACAAGUGCAUGCACUUAUUAUCACGAUAAAAAAACAAUAUUCGUGCUGCAUCCCAGUUAUCAGUCUGUACUUGCAGAAUUCUAUCGUUUAUUGAGCACGUAUAUUGUUUUUUCAGGUCGAGCAAGUUUCAACUGAGUUGUAGAUUGCCCAGGGUUGUUUUGUUUUUAACAGGCCCAGCCCAUGACGACAACGGGGCACAAAGAUCCAGCAGGUAUCUACUGGCCUCUGGCCUGCCAGCGUUAGUUAUAUUUUGUCUUACAACAUCCGCAGGCAGUUUUUUUUACUGAAUCAAACACACAGCCCAGUUCUAUUUUCCUCUUGAAACGCAUGUCCUACAUCCAUUUUCUAAUCUCUACCUAUAGUUUUACUAGUUCAUAUACACGUAUCAUUAUAUUGAAAACACAUAAAAUUCCCUUUUCAUAUUUACAUCCUUAUUUUUGUUGUUUUUUCCCAUCCAGCGCUGAUUUUUUUACCACUGGUUUUCCCUUAAACCAACUAAAUUGUCCCACGUCUUAUUUGCUUACAAAAACAAAACGAUUUUUUUGGCAAAUCAAUAAGUUCUUAAAAAAUGUUUAUCAUUUCGGGAUUACAACAGUUCAUACUCCAUCGAAAUAUGCAAAAUAAGGUUGGACUUUUUGACUGUGGUCCUGGGCAGAUAAUGGGCUGUAAUAAAUUACUUAAGAAUUAGCAAAUGGGCUGCAAAUUAUAAAAAAUAGCAAAUGGGCUUUAUGUUGUCUGCCACAGAUUUGGAGGCUGACUUGUGGGCCUACUAAGUUCAUGCGUACACAAGGUUUCUCAAAAAAGAAACUUAGUCAACAAUCGACUCUACUAGCGUCAGACCGUUAGAUGUCAAUCUAACGGCAAUCGUGCUUCUUCAGUCUCUGAUCUUCCUGCCUCAGCCGCCCAAACCAGUGCCGUCGGAACCGCCUGCUCCCGCCUCCCAUGGCCGGUAGUGUUGCCGGGAAGGCCUCACGGCCCCAUCAUACUCGCAUCCCUGGCUUGUCUAUCCCUCUACUCACCCACACCUCCUGUUAUUUUCCGGCGACGGCAGCCAAACCAGUCAACCCUCGUACUCUCCACCGUGUGGGCAGCCAGUGGCAUGUCUUCCCCGGCUCCGUGUCGUUCCCUUCGUAGGCCUCGCCGUCGUCCACCGCCCUGGUGCUCUCGGCGCGGCGUGGUCAACGAUGUCCAUCCAACGGCCGUAGUGCUUCUUCAACCUCUGGUCUUCUUGCCCCAGCCGCCCAAAGCAGCGCCGGUCGUGCCGCAUGCUCCUAACUCCCGUGGCUGGCUGUGCUGCCGCGAAGGCCUCACCGUCCCCAUACUACUCCCACCGCUGGCCAGGCCAUCCCUCCACUCACCCACUCCUCCUGUUAUUCUGCAGCGACGGUAGCCUCACACCGCAGCCGAACCAGUGAACCCUCGUACUCCUCUCCGCGUGGGCAUCCACUGCCGCGUCUUCCCCGGCUCCGCGUCAUCCCCUUCCUAGGCCUCGCCAUCGUCCACCGUCAUGGUGCUCUCAGCGCGGCGUGGUCAAUGUGGUCAACGACCGACUUCCAUCGGAAGAGUACUGUACGUGGAGAGGCUGACAGUUGGGUCCACGGCAGCCGCAAGGAAGUGCCUCCUUAUUACAUGCAAAAUAAUUAUUCCUCCACCUGACAGCAGGGACCCACCGGACGGGCCACCAGUAUUUCGCGGAAAAAAUGUUUCCCCCUGACUGUUGGGACCCACCGGACAGGCCACCGUAUUUCGUGAAAAAAAAGGUUUGCCCAUGACUGCUGGGACGCACCNNNNNNNNNNNNNNNNNNNNNNNNNNNNNNNNNNNNNNNNNNNNNNNNNNNNNNNNNNNNNNNNNNNNNNNNNNNNNNNNNNNNNNNNNNNNNNNNNNNNNNNNNNNNNNNNNNNNNNNNNNNNNNNNNNNNNNNNNNNNNNNNNNNNNNNNNNNNNNNNNNNNNNNNNNNNNNNNNNNNNNNNNNNNNNNNNNNNNNNNNNNNNNNNNNNNNNNNNNNNNNNNNNNNNNNNNNNNNNNNNNNNNNNNNNNNNNNNNNNNNNNNNNNNNNNNNNNNNNNNNNNNNNNNNNNNNNNNNNNNNNNNNNNNNNNNNNNNNNNNNNNNNNNNNNNNNNNNNNNNNNNNNNNNNNNNNNNNNNNNNNNNNNNNNNNNNNNNNNNNNNNNNNNNNNNNNNNNNNNNNNNNNNNNNNNNNNNNNNNNNNNNNNNNNNNNNNNNNCUUAUUAUGCACAGAAAAAUGAAUACUCCCCCUGCUAGCUGGGACCCAACCUGGUGGGAGGCUGACUUGUGGACCUACUAAGUUGACGAGGAUGGAGGGCUUUGUCAACUUAGUCAAUAUGAACGAUUCUAGCUCCAGUGACCGUACGAUGUCCAUCCAACGGCUGUAGUGCUUCUUCAACCUCUGGUCUUUUUGCUCCAGCCGCCCAAAGCUGCGUCAGUCGUGCCGUGUGCUCCUCCCUUCUCAUGGCCGGCUGUGAUGCCGCGGAGGCCUCACCGCCCCCUACUACUCCCACCGCUGGCCCAUGCUAUCCCUCUACUCACCCACACCCCCUGUUAUUCUGCGGCGACGACAGCCUCACGCCGCAGUUGAACCAGUGAACCCUUGUACUCCUCUCCGCGUGGGCAUCCACUGCCGCGUCUUCCCUGGCUCCGUGUCAUCCCCUUCCUAGGCCUCGCCGUCGUCCACCGCCUUGGUGCUCUCGGCGCGGCGUGGUCAAUGUGGUCAAUGACCGACUUCCAUCGGAAGAGUACUGUACGUGGAGAGGCUGACAGCUGGGUCCACAGCCACAGCCCAGUUUUUUUGUGAUUUGCCAAGUAAGUCGCUUUGUCAGGCCUGUUGGGCUGUAAAUAUUUCAAGACGAGGAGAGCUUCAUUCGGCUGGCCGAGAAAAUGGCCCAUCAGUAAUGAGAAAUGGGCUAUACAUUUUUAAAACACAUCAAACCGGCAAUUAGUUUAAAAUAUCUUUUUUUCAUUUUGAGAUUUUAAAUUAUAUUAAUUUUUAUGCAUGGAGAAUUUGUUGGAUUUUAUAUUGAUAUACAUUUAUUUUUAAAAUCAGUUUGAAUGUGAGUCGAAAUUUCAAGAUUAAAAACAGUUCGGACCGCACCGAAAUAUGCAAAAUUUCGUUAAUUUUUUAACCGUGGCCACAAUAUGGGCUGUAAUGCUAACAAAAAGAAUAUGGACUCCAAAAAAAACCUUAAGAAUUAGCAAAUGGGCUGUAAAUUAUUAGAAAUAAUGGCAGAUGGGAUGUAUGAUGUUUUCCACAAAUUUGAGGCUUUCCUAAAAAAAGGUUGACACACAAGCACUGACUGUUGGAUGUCCAUCCAACGGCCGUCGUGCUUCUUCAAUCUCUGCUCUUCCUGCUCCAGCCGCUCAAACAAGCGCCGGCGGGACUGCCUGCUCCCUCCUCCUCGCGGCCGGCUAUGCUGCCGUGCAGGCCUCACCGCCCGACCGUACUCCCAUCGCUGGCCUAGCCAUUCCUCUACUCACCCACACCUGCUGUUAUUCUCCGGCGACGGUAGACGAACCAGUAAACCCUCGUACAGUCGUACUCCCCUCCGCGUGGGAAACAACUGCCGAGUCUUCCCUACCGCCGUGUCGUCCCCUUCCUAGGCCUCGCCGUCGUCCACCGUCCUGGUGCUCUUGGCGCGGCAUGGUCAACGUGGUCAAUGAUCGACAUGCAUCUGAAGUGGACUGUACGUGGAGAGGCCGACAGCUGGGUCCACGGCCGCAUGCAAGGAAAUGCCUCCUUAUUAUGUGCAAAAUAAUGAUUCCUCCCCUGACAUCAGGGACCCACCGAAAGGGCCUCUAUAUUUCAUGAAAAAAACGUUACCGCCUCUGACAGCUUGAACCCACCAGCUAUAUCUACGCACGCAAGGAAGUGCCUCCUUAUUACGCUCAAAAAAUGAAUACCCCCCUGCUAGCUGGGACCCACCUUGGUGGGAGGCUGACUUGUGGGCCUACUAAGUUGACGGGGAUGGAGGGUGAGGGAGUCCUGGAUUAGGGGGUCUCCGGACAGCCGGACUAUAUCCUUUGGCCGGACUGUUAGACUAUGAAGAUACAAGAUUGAAGACUUCGUCUCGUGUCCAGAUGGGACUCUACUUGGCGUGGAAGGCAAGCUAGGCAAUACAGAUAUGUAUAUCUCCUCCUUUGUAACCGACCUUGUGUAACCCGAGCCCUUUCUGGUGUCUAUAUAAACUGGAGGAUUUUAGUCCAUAGAAAAAUAACAAUCAUACCAUAGGCUAGCUUCUAGGGUUUAGCCUCUCCGAUCUCGUGGUAGAUCAAAUCUUGUAAUACCCAUAUCAUCAAGAAUAAAUCAAGCAGGACGUAGGGUUUUACCUCCAUCAAGAGGGCGCGAACCUGGGUAAAAUAUUGUGUCCCCUGCCUCCUGUUACCAUCCGCCUUAGACGCACAGUUCGGGACCCCCUACCCGAGAUCCGCCGGUUUUGACACCUACAUUGGUGCUUUCAUUGAGAGUUCCUCUGUGUCGUCAUCAUCAGGCUUGAUGGCUCCUUCGAUCAUUGUUAGCGAUGCAGUCCAGGGUGAGACUUUUCUCCCCGGACAUAUUUUUGUAUUCGGCGGCUUCGCAUUGCGGGCCAACUCGCUUGGCCAUCUGGAGCAGAUCGAAAGUUACGCCCCUGGCCACCAGGUCAGGUUUGGAAGCUUAAACUACACGGCCGAUAUCCGCGGAGACUUGAUCUUCAACGGAUUCGAGCCUCUGCCUUGUGCGUCACGCGGUCACGAUGAGUACGAUUUAGCUCUACCAUCAGACAGUGUUCAGGAGAUCGCAUCGGCAGCCGCUCCGACCCUCAAUUCGGAGCCAGUUGCGCCGUCCAUGGACGGGUGGAUGGACCCCUCCACGGAGGCCUUACCCUCGGCGGCGAUCGAGCCGAACACCAACCUUAUCCUUCGCGAGGCCCGUGACUCCACAUUACCGGACUCUCCUCCGAACUCUGAACCAUCCGCGCCCCUGCCAAUCGAAUCCGAUUGGGCACCGAUCAGGGAGUUCACUGCCGUGGAUAUCUUUCAGCACUCGCCCUUCGGCGACAUACUGAAUUCACUAAGGUCUCUCUCUUUGUCAAGGGAGUCCUGGCCGGAUUAUGACCGGCAGGAUUGGGAUGCGUACGAUGAAGAAAUUCGACACCCACCCACCACCCACUUCAUAGCCACUGUCGAUGAUUUGACCGACAUGCUCGACUUCGACUCCGGAGACAUCGACGAUAUGGACAACGACGCAGGAGACAAACAUGAACCAGCGCAUAUAGGGCACUGGAAAGCCACCUCAUCAUACGAUAUAUACAUGGUGGACACACCCAAAGAAGGCAAUGGCGACAAGACAGCGGAGGAUGACCCCUCCAAGAAGCAACCCAAGCGCCGACGUCAGCGGCGCCGCUCUAAGUCCCGCCAAAGCAAAAGUGGUGAUACUGGCACAUGAGAUAAUAACACUCCGGAUAGUGCCGAAGAUGGCAACAAUCCCCUCCAACACGAUCUAGGACAGGAGGAUGGAGAGGCCAGCCCUCCAGAGAGAGCGGCAGAUGGAGAGGCGGAGGAUGAUAAUUACAUGCCCCCCUCCGAAGACAAGGCAAGCCUCGACGAUGACGAAUUCGUCGUGCCAGAGGAUCCCGUCGAACAAGAGCGCUUCAAGUGCCAGCUUAUAGCCACGGCAAAUAACCUUAAUAAAAAGUAGCAGCAGCUUCAAGCUGAUCAAGAUCUGCUAGCUGACCGAUGGACUGAAGUCCUCGCGGCCGAGGAAUAUAAACUCGAACGCCCCUCCAAGAGUUACCCAAAAUGCAGGUUGCUACCCCGACUGGAGGAAGAAGCGUAUGACGCGGCUAAUCGGCCACCUCGUGGCCGCGAUAGAGAGACAUUCCAGCCAAAAGCUCAGCCUGCACCCCGACGCCAUUCAAAUAAAAAGGCAUGGGGAAAUACGCCAGACCUGCGAGACGUAUUGGAGGACAAAGCAAAACAUGCAAGAUCGAUCUACGGAUCACGAGGGUGCGCCACUAUGCAAGACGAUAAACGUCACGCCAGAUACAGUAAAAGUAAAUCCGGUCGGGCCGAACACAGCGGAGAAGACUCAUUGGAGCUGCGUCGCGAUAUAGCCCAGUACAGAGGCGCAGCACACCCCUUAUGCUUCACAGACGAAAUAAUGGAUCAUCAAAUCCUAGAAGGUUUCAAACCCGUAAAUAUAGAAUCAUACGACGGUACAACAAAUCCUGCGGUAUGGAUCAAGGAUUUCCUCCUGCAUAUCCACAUGGCACGUGGUGAUGAUCUACACGCCAUUAAAUACCUCCCACUCAAACUCAAAGGACCAGCUCGGCAUUGGCUCAAUAGCUUGCUGGCAGAGUCCAUUGGCUGUUGGGAGGAUCUGGAAGCCGCAUUCCUUGACAACUUUCAGGGCACUUAUGUGCAACCACCAGAUGCCGAUGACUUGAGCCACAUAAUUCAGCAGCCAGAGGAAUCGGCCAGGCAUUUCUGGACACGGUUCCUAACAAAGAAAAAUCAAAUCAUCGACUGUCCGGAUGCUGAGGCUCUAGCAGGUUUCAAGCACAACAUCCGCGACGAGUGGCUAGCCCGGCACCUUGGUCGGGAAAAGCCGAAAUCUAUGGCAGCCCUCACAACACUCAUGACCCGCUUUUGUGCAGGAGAAGACAGGUGGUUGGCUCGCAGUAACAACAUAUCAAAGAACCAUGGUACUUCGGAUACCAAGGACGGCAGUAGCAGGUCACGUCGCAACAAACAUAAGCGCCGCAUUAACAACGACAAUACCGAGGAUACGGCAGUUAAUGCCGGAUUCAAGGGCUCUAAACCCGGUCAGCGGAAAAAGCCAUUCAAAAGAAGCACUCCGGGGCUGUCCAGUUUGGACCGUAUACUCGAUCGCUCGUGUCAAAUACACGGCACCCCCGACAAGCCAGCCAACCACACCAAUAGGGAUUGUUGGGUGUUCAAGCAGGCCGGCAAGUUAAUUGCCAAAAACAAAGAUAAGGGGCCACAUAGCGAUGACGAGGAGGAGCCCCGGUAGCCGAAUACUAGAGGACAGAAGAGGUUCCUCCCACAAGUGCGGACGGUGAACAUGAUAUACGCAACCCACAUCCCCAAGAGGGAGCGGAAGCGUGCGCUCAGGGACAUAUAUGCGUUGGAGCCAGUCGCCCCAAAGUUCAACACAUGGUCCUCCUGUCCGAUCACCUUCGAUCGCAGGGACCACCCCACUAGUAUCCGUCAUGGCGGAUUCGCCGCACUGGUCCUAGACCCAAUCAUUGACGGAUUUCACCUCACUCGAGUCCUUAUGGAUGGCGGCAGCAGCCUGAACCUGCUUUACCAGGACACAGUGCGCAAAAUGGGUAUAGACCCCUCAAGGAUCAAACCCGCAAAAACGACCUUUAAAGGUGUCAUACCAGGUGUAGAGGCCCAUUGCACAGGCUCAGUCACACUGGAAGUGGUCUUCGGAUCCCCGGAUGACUUCCGAAGUGAAGAGUUAAUCUUUGAUAUAGUCCCGUUCCGCAGUGGUUAUCAUGCACUGCUCGGGCGAACCGCAUUUGCGAGAUUCAAUGCGGUACCACAUUAUGCAUACCUCAAGCUCAGGAUGCCAGGACCUCAGGGGGUCAUUAAAGUUAAUGGAAACAUAGAGCGCUCUCUCCGAACGGAGGAGCACACUGCGGCCCUCGCAGCGGAAGCGCAAAGCAGCCUCUUAAGGCAAUCCACUAGUUCGGCGUUUAAGGACCCGAACACCUUCAAGCGCGCCCGGAGUAAUCAGCAACAGGACCGCCUGGCACGUUCCGAGCUCGCAUAGCAAUGCGGCCCCCACCCCGCCCAAGCCAAAUGGUGGAACUCGUGCCACACGUAUAUAAUUACGCAUUAAAAAUACCAUGGGCACAGGUAGGGAGGGGGCACGACUACGGCAUGCCCCAAGACGCGGCUUAAACCGCACUAGGGGCUUCCCGCUUUGUUAUUUUUCUCUCUUUCAGGACAUUAAUAUCUCAAAACCCUGUCCGGCAGCAUGAUUGCCAAACACAUGAUUCAACAACCAAGGAGGCAGAAAGCUACAUCACACCACUAAACUCCCAGGUGGAUUACAAUAACGAGUGAAAUACUUGCUUUAAUAUUAUUCCUCAGCUUGCCCUUGGAGGGGACAUAGUCCUACUUUUUGCUUAUCGCACUACCUGUAUCAUUCUGCUCUAACGCAUGUUUUUUAAUAAACAAUGCAUUGCAUUAAGGCUUUUAUUGCAUUCUUCUUUAUAUAUAUAUAUAUAUAUAUAUAUAUAUAUAUGUGUUCAUUCGUGACAUCCAGCACCCGUACACUCUGGUACGGCCAAUACACCAGGGGCUUAAGUACCCCACAAUAUGGUGUGAGAAGUCCGAACACUUUCACAAGUGCGGCACCCCGAACUUAUAACAUUAUAUGCAUCAGCUCCGAAUCAUGUCUUUGGUCAAUAGUUGGGUUUGCCCGGCUCCCAUGUUUUGGUAUAUUACGUUCCGCUAUAUCGGCUAAGGUAGCACUGGGAGAACUACUGUGAUUGUGCCCCGGUUCAGCUGGGCUAAGCACCUCAGUAGAGAAAGCUAAAACUGACUGUCAUGAUAAGGCGAGAGACUGGUCGCUGUUCGAGAGGUUUUCGAGUCCCUAAAGACUUAUGCCGCUUAGAGCGAGGAGUCGGCCCUGUCCGGCUUAAGGCGUGUAUCGCGCCCCAAAUUCGGCCUUCCGAAUACUAGGGGCUUCGCCGAAAUUUAAAAUUAUAGAAUUCUAUGGCUAAGUGAGAGUGAUAACGCAUUAUAGUCUGAUUGCCUUGUUCGUUGUGCUGAGCACCUCCCUCGAAGGACCCAACAAUGAGAACAAGAGUGCUCAGGUUUAUCCCGAACACCCCAGCACUCGUGGCAUGGGGGCAGAAGCCGACGACUAGCCAUCUCUCAAAUUUGAUAAACGGCCAAACAUAAGGUAAUAUUUUAAAUUCAAACAAGCAUUGCAUAGCGCAUAUGAACAAGUUUUCAUAGAUACAGGAUUACACGAGCGAGUUUACUCAAAUAUUACAUCUUUCGUACACUCGUCCGCUAUGAGACGGGCACCCUUCAGGACACCUUCAUAGUACAUCUCGGGAUGGCGCUGCUCCUUGCCCGCCGGCGGCCCUUCCUUAAUCAGCUUCACGGCAUCCAGCUUGGCCCAUUGCACCUUCACACGGGCGAAAGCCCGGCGUGCACCUUCGAUGCAGACGAACCGCUUGAUGACUUCCAGCCAUGGGCAGGCAUCCACAAGCCGCCUCACCAGGCCAAAGUAGCUAUUGGGAAGGGCGUCGCCAGGCCACAUCCGGACUAUAAAGCCCUUCAUGGCCUGUUCGGCCGCCUUGUGUAACUCGACCAGCUGCUUUAGCUGGUCGCUCAUGGGCACCGGGUGUUCGGCCCCAGUAUACUGAGACCAGAACAACUUCUUCAUUGAGCUUCCCUCCUCGGCCUGGUAAAACUGUGCGUCAUCCGACAUGCUGCGGGGCAAAUCUGCGAACACUCCUGGAGAGCUCCGGAUUCGGGUAAGUAACAAGUAAUUUACUUUCACAUGCUUGCUCUGCAUAAGGAAUGCCUUACCCGCCGCUAUUUUAUUCAUCGCCUCAAUCUCCUGGAGGGCUCUUUGGGCUUCAGCCUUGGUAUUCACACCGCAGCGAACCAGUGAACCCUCGUACUCCUCUAUGUGUGGGCAUCCACUGCCGCGUCUUCCCCGGCUCCGCGUCGUCCCCUUCCUAGGCCUCGCCGUCGUCCACCGCCCUGGUGCUCUCGGCGCGGCGUGGUCAACGUGGUCAAGGAACGGCUUCCAUCAGACGUGGACUGUACGUGGAGAGGCUGACAGCUGGGUCCACGGCCGCAGCAAGGAAGUGCCUCCUUAUUACGUGCAAAAUAAUUAUUCCUCCACCUGACAGCGGGACCCACUGGAGGGCCACCGUAUUUCAUGAAAAAAACGUUUCCCCCUGACUGCUAGGACCCACCAGCUACAUCUUCGCAGGCAAGGAAGUGCCUGACAGUCGGGACCCACCUGGACCUGGUCGAAGCGUACGUAGCAUUGUCAUUUUGGUCGUGAACAUGUACGUACAUACUGGUCGAUGUAGAGGCGCGCACAUGUCGUAGUAGAGGCGCGCACGUGUUGUAGUAGAGGCGUGCACAUAGCAUUUACAUGUACGUACAGUGGCCAGGGUGCAAGAAAGAAAAUACGGCCAUGUAUGUGUACAUACGGGCGGGGUCUCGAACACCUACUCGCGCAUACGUACGACGGAGGAAACGGACUUGUGUUGGAGCGCUACGGUCGAAACGGGGGUCCUGUUCAUCGGGAGGGGUGUGGCAUACCGCAAAACUGGACUCCACGAGAUACUGUUCAUCUCCACUGUCGACCUCCUCCAGCCUCCACGGGAUCCUGUUCAUCCAGCCUCCACCGCGCGCUACUCCACCAGCUACUGUUCAACCACCCCUCCACCGUCUACUGUUCAUCCAGCCCUCCACACCACGGGGUCCUGUUGAACCACCCCUCCACGGGCACCCCUCCGCCGUCUACUAUUCAUCCAGCCNNNNNNNNNNNNNNNNNNNNNNNNNNNNNNNNNNNNNNNNNNNNNNNNNNNNNNNNNNNNNNNNNNNNNNNNNNNNNNNNNNNNNNNNNNNNNNNNNNNNNNNNNNNNNNNNNNNNNNNNNNNNNNNNNNNNNNNNNNNNNNNNNNNNNNNNNNNNNNNNNNNNNNNNNNNNNNNNNNNNNNNNNNNNNNNNNNNNNNNNNNNNNNNNNNNNNNNNNNNNNNNNNNNNNNNNNNNNNNNNNNNNNNNNNNNNNNNNNNNNNNNNNNNNNNNNNNNNNNNNNNNNNNNNNNNNNNNNNNNNNNNNNNNNNNNNNNNNNNNNNNNNNNNNNNNNNNNNNNNNNNNNNNNNNNNNNNNNNNNNNNNNNNNNNNNNNNNNNNNNNNNNNNNNNNNNNNNNUGUUCAUCCCAUCGAUCGGCUUUAGUUAGCAGCAGCGGCGAAGAAAUCGCUCGAUCGGGUUCAGUUAACAGCCAUCGUUCGAUCGCUCGGGUUCAGUAACGCGUAGCCUGUAGUGCAAUCGCUCGGGUUCAGUUAGAGCCAACGCCUCGCACACACACGCAUACGUGUACGAGAGAAACCCGCGUCGCUCGGCCGCCGACCUCCCACCGUAACCGGGAACUCCCCAAAAUUUUCCUCCCCCUCGAUUCUACCAUGGUUUUUUCCGUCAUGGACAACCCAAAGAAUGUCAUGCAGCUGCGUCUCCGGCCCGCCCAGGACGAAAAGCCCAUUUCCUGUCAUGAUUUUUUGUCAUAGAAGUAGGAGCCCACCACAUCUAUGAUGAUAGCGGGUUUUGUCACAAUUAUUCAUAGAAGUGUCAUAUGUAUGACAGAAAAAAUUUCGUUCGGCCCAAAAUGUCACGGAUGUGUCUUUUUUUGUAGUGAGUGGGCCGGACCAGAAGACAGCCUUGCCUACCGGCUCGGCUGGCUGGCCCGGAAUGGGCCCAUGUGGGCAAUGUACUUAAGCCUGUCGGUAGCGCGUGAGUGGCUAGCGAACGGCUGGUAGGAAUAACUACUUUCCUCUUUCGUGUUGUAAAGCUAAACCUCCUCCUCCCUUCUCUCCAUGGAUCUGUGAAUUGUAGCUCGAGCUGUGAUAAUGGAGGAUAGUUGAGGAACUGUGUUUGAGUGCUAACAACCUGGUAUCAGCGUCGUUCCGUCUUGGAGCUGCCCCACCACCACCACCGCACGCGUCUGGCAAAUCGCCGAUGAGUCGAGGCGAUGGAGAGGAUCUCGCCGGAGACCAAGGCGAUCUACGAACUCCUCCGCGCUGACUUCGAUGCUGCCCUCGCCAAGAGCUCCUCUGAGCGCAGCGAGAAGAUGGUGUCCACGCUCGCGAAGCUGGACUCCAAGCUCUACCAACUAUUGGGGCGACUCGAGGAUGUGAAGCUGUCCCUCGGAGUCGACAUCAAUGAGCUAGAGUUAGCUUCUUUUCCUCCAAUAUGCAUAAAGACCUAGACUUAGCUUUAUUUCCUCCUAUAUGCUUACCAUAAUGACCUAGAGUUAGCUUCUUUUCCUCCAAAAUGACUUAAUAAGCUUACUGACCUACAAAACCAUCCAUUUUACCUAAGUUAGCUCUGAAAUGAUCUAUACUUAGCUUUGUUUCCUCCAAAAUGACCUAAGUUAGCUCUAAUAUGCUUAGUUAACUAGGUUUGCUCAAUAUGACAUGUACUUAGCUUACUUAUGUCAAAAAUGGCAUAAUUGGCUUAGUUAGCUCAUAAACAAUCCAUUUUACCUAAGUUAGCUCUAAAAUGACCCAUUUUACCUUAGUUAGCUCAUAAAUGAUCCAUUUUACCCAAGUUAGCUCUAAAAUGACCCAUUUUACCUAGGUUAGCUCCAAAAUGAUCCAUUUUACCUAGGUUAGCUCUAAAAUGACCCAUUUUACCUUGGUUAGCUCCAAAAUGACCCAUCUUACCUAGGUUAGCUCUAAAAUGAUGCAUUUUACCUAAGUUAGCUCAUAAACGAUCCAUUUCACCUAGGUUGGCUCAUAAACGAUCCAUUUCACCUAAGUUAGCUCACAAACGAUCCAUUUUAACUAGGUUAGCUCCAAAAUGACCCAUCUUAACUGGGUUGGCUCUAAAAUGAUGCAUUUUACCUAAGUUAGCUCAUAAACGAUCCAUUUCACCUAGGUAAGCUCAUAAACGACCCAUUUCACCUAAGUUAGCUCACAAACGAUCCAUUUCACCUAAAUUAGCUCAUAAACGACCCAUUUCACCUAAUNNNNNNNNNNNNNNNNNNNNNNNNNNNNNNNNNNNNNNNNNNNNNNNNNNNNNNNNNNNNNNNNNNNNNNNNNNNNNNNNNNNNNNNNNNNNNNNNNNNNNNNNNNNNNNNNNNNNNNNNNNNNNNNNNNNNNNNNNNNNNNNNNNNNNNNNNNNNNNNNNNNNNNNNNNNNNNNNNNNNNNNNNNNNNNNNNNNNNNNNNNNNNNNNNNNNNNNNNNNNNNNNNNNNNNNNUCAUAAAUGAUCCAUUUCACCUAAGUUAGCUCAUAAACGAUCCAUUUCACCUAAGUUAGCUCAUAAAUGAUACAUUUCAUCUUAGUUAGCUCAUAAACGAUCCAUUUCAACUAAGUUAGCUCAUAAAUGAUCCAUUUCACCUUAGUUAGCUCAUAAACGAUCCAUUUCAACUAAGUUAGCUCAUAAAUGAUCCAUUUCACCUUAGUUAGCUCAUAAACUACCAUUUCAACUAAGUUAGCUCAUAAAUGAUCCAUUUAACCUAAGUUAGCUCAUAAAUGACAUAUACUUCUUCUUCUAGUCUUUCUUCUUCUAGUCACCUUUUUCUAACUUUCUUAUUUGCCAUUUUGCAUAUUUCAUUCACUUCACGGAAGCUAGCUUGCUAUGAUGGAGUGCUUGUUUUUUCUUUUAUUCUCUUCUAGUAUUCUUCUAGCUUGCUAUGAUCGAACUUGCUAUCUUGAUGAAACUUUGCAUUGUAAUAUGUAUGGAUGGAACAAUGUGUAUGUGCAACUUGCUAUGUAUGAAUGGAUGGAACUAUAUAUGUAUGUACGAUGAAACUUAUGUGCUAGAUAUGUCAUAUGUUUGUUGUUAAAUAGCCAUGUGAAAUAUAUAUAUAUAUAUAUAUAUGUCAUAUAUAUUUGCUAUGAAAAUUGUUGGAUUUAAAAAAACAGAAAAAAGAGGCAAUGCAGGCCCUUUGCCGUCUGCCGCCGACGGCAACGGGCUCUUUGCCGUCAGUGGCGGACAGCAAAGAAGCCACAUGGCAGCCACCUGUGCUUCCUGGGAGCUGACCCAUUUGGUCAGUUUGCCUACAGCAGAGGAAGGCAAAGCCUUUGCCUACAGUGGCGGAUGGCAAAGCUUUGGUGGGUAGUGACGUGCGGAUGACGUCAUUUGGCAGAUGGCAAAGGCCUGAUGCUUGUUUCCAUCAGCUGGCGGACGGCAAAGACUGCCGUUAGCCACCAAACGGACUAACAGCGAAUUUAUUGCCGUCGGCUUUCUUUGCCGUCAGCCGCUGAUGGCAAAGGCCCCUUUGCUGUCCGCUUCAGAAAGCAGACGACAAAGAAGGUCUUUACCGAUCCAAUCUCUGCCGGAGCCUUUUGCCAUCCGUGGCAUAUGGCAAAGGCCUUUGUCAUCCGCCAUCCAUGCCUUUGCCGUCUGCCUUGGCGGACGGCAAAGUAGCUAAUUCCUGUAGUGAAAUUCUAUGGGCCUUUUGAAGUUGUCGAGUGCAUUGGUGAAGUGGCAUAUCGGUUGGCUUUGCUGGUCACCAGUCGUGUGCACCCAGUGUUUUAUGUCUCUCUUCUGCGGAAAGUACUCGGCCUAUGUAACGCCCUUGAUGCGGCUAUAUCUCCCACGUGUCAAAGCACGACUUAGAGGCAUAACCACAUUGAAAGAAAUGUUGCAAGUGAGGUAAUCUUCACACAACCCAUGUAAUACAUAAGGAAAAGAGAUACAUAGUUGGCUUACAAUCGCCACUUCACACAAUACAUGAAUAAAGCAUUACAUUCAUCCAAAUACACUCAAGGUCCGACUACGGAACCAAAAUAAAAGAAGACUACCCCAAAUGCUACAUAGCUCCCCGAUCAUCCCAACUGGGCUCCACUACUGAUCAACUGGAAAACGGAACAACAUAAAGAACACGGUCUUCAUAGAGCUCCUCCUUGAGCUUGGUUGCGUCACCUGCACGAUAUCAUCGGCACCUGCAAAGUGGUUUUGGAAGUAUCUGUGAGUCACGGGGACUCAGCAAUCUCACACCCUCGCGAUCAAGACUAUUUAAGCUUAUAGGUAAGGUAAAGGUAUGAGGUGGAGCUGCAGCAAGCGACUAGCAUAUAUGGUGGCUAACCUAUACGCAAAAGAGAGCGAGAAGAGAAGGCAAAAGCACGGUCGAGAAUCUAUGAUCAAGAAGUGAUCCUAGAGAAACCUACGUCAAGCAUAACUCCAACACCGUGUUCACUUCCCGGACUCCGCCGAGAAGAGUCCAUCACGGUUAUACACGCGGUUGAUGUAUUUUAAUUAAGGUUAACUUAAGGUUUUCUACAACCGGACAUUAACAAAUUCCCAUCUGCCCAUAACUGCGGGCACGGCUUUCGAAAGUUCAAAACCCUGCAGGGGUGUCCCAACUUAGCCCAUCACAAGCUCUCACGGUCAACGAAGGAUAUUCCUUCUCCCAAGACAAUCCGAUCAGACUCAGCAUCCCGGUUACAAGACAUCCUCGACAAUGGUAAAACAAGUCCAGCAACACCGCCCGAAUGUGCCGACAAAUCCCGAUAGGAGCUGCACAUAUCUCGUUCUCAGGGCACACUCAGUCUGUCCAAACUUCCAGUAGGCCAGCCCAGAGUUUCCCCUGGUGGCCACCGGCGGCUGACGAGGUGGACCAACACUCAGAGGAGCACUGGCCCGGGGGUUUAAAUAAAGAUGACCCUUGAGUCUGCAGAACCCAAGGGAAAGAAAAGGCUAGGUGGCGAAUGGUAAAACCAAUGUUGGGCAUUGUUGGAGGAGUUUUAUUCAAGGCGAACUGUCAAGGGGUUCCCAUUAUAACCCAACCGUGUAAGGAACGCAAAAUCCAGGGACAUAACACCGAUGUGACAGAAACUAGGGCAGCAAGAGUGGAACAAAAUACCAGGCAUAAGGCCGAGCCUUCCACCCUUUACCAAGUAUAUAGAUGCAUUAAUUAAAUAAGAGAUAUUGUGAUAUCCCAACAAAAUAUCCAUGUUCCAACAUGGAACAAGCUCCAAUCUUCACCUGCAACUAACAACGCUAUAAGAAGGGCUGAGCAAGCGGUAACAUAGCCAAACAACGGUUUGCUAGGACAAGGUGGGUUAGCGGCUUGGCUUAACAAUAUGGGGGCAUGAUAAGCAAGUGGUAGGUAUCGCAGCAUAGGCAUAGCAAAAGAGCGAGCAACUAGCAAGCAAAGAUAGAAGUGAUUUCGAGGGUAUGGUCAUCUUGCCUGAAAUCCCGCAAGGAAGAAGAACGAGUCCAUGAAGAAGUCAAACGGACGUAGACGAACGGAUCCUCACAAACGCGACGUAAUCGGAACCAACCCGAAGAAGCAACACCGGAAAGAAGCACACAACAUAGUAAACAACCAUCACAUAAACAUGGCAUGAUGCACAACCAAGUAUGGUGCAUGUCCGGUUUAAAUAUGCAUGGCAUGGAAAAGUGCACAAACAAAACUACAAAUUAAGUGGAGAUCAAUAUGCAACGAGUUGCAUAUUGACGAAACACCACAUGACUUAUUUAGUUCUCUCUCGGUUAUGUACCCAAAAAUAUUAAAUGUUGUUAAGCAUAUCAAGAGGUGAAACAUAAAGGGAUUAUUUAUCUAAACAAUUUAAAUGGGGCCGGAUAUAGCAAACAACAAAUCCGGUAAAUCCCCAUAUGCAUUAGUAAAUUAAUGCAAACAACAAUUUAAACCAUCUUAAUGUUGUUAACAUGAUGCAGAUGACAUGAUCAAGUUUUUAUGCAAGUAUUACUAAAAGUUGACAUGAGCGUGAUGAGAGCAUUUGUGUCACCGUGGUAGAAAGAAAGGUGUACCACGGCGACGAAACGGAAAUGAUGCCGCGGCAACAUUCCGAUGAUCCGAUAGCUCACGGGGAUACCGGUGCAAAAGGAAGUGGGUGCGAGUGUGUCAUGCAAGAAGAUGGGGUGAUCCCGGUUACCGGGUUCCCACGGGUCGACGGCGUGGCAACGAAGAGGAACAACUACCGUUCAUGGGCGGAUACAACAUCCAAACAUGCAUCUCAUACAACUCAUGCAUUCGUCCACGGGCGUUCGUUCUCAGCGGUUAUACCUUCGAAGCGUGUGUUUCGAAGAGGACCGGUUCGUAGAGGAAGUAGCCAUUCACGAGCCAUUGAGGGAAGUAGUGGUACAUGACGACGGUAGUGGUACACACUUUCGUAGAUGUUCUGGGUCGUCGGUAGAGGUACUUGUCGCAUCGCCGGGCAUAUUCGUACCCGUUUCAGAGAGGAACUUGGCCUAUCCAUGUACUUGGCGUUUUGCAAUCCCAUGUCCAGGGUCGUCAUGUAGUUGUUCAGGCGUCGUGGAGGAACUUGACGUUCACGGGGUCCCGGUCUUGGCCAUGGAGAGGGGCGCAACCCACGCAAGGAGGGGAGGCCGUGGUGGGUGCACUGGGCAUGCGUGUGCAAAGGUCGACGGAGCUGGGCCUGCUGGAGGAACGUUGCGAGGGGCACGCCUCGUGGUCCACUAAAAGGAGCAAGGGAGGUCGCUGCGGUCAACGGUACGGCGAUCCCUCACUGGACUUGGCGCAGACGCGAACGAGGGCUUGAGGCGGCUGGCUCCGGGAUGUAGGGCACGGAGGGAGGUGUUGAUCCGGCCGUUUGACGGCGUCCCCGGUGAGAACCGAGUCGAGGCAGGGGUUCGGCGGCCAUGAGAUGGUCUCCUGUUACAGAGAACAAGAGAGAUGAGAGGUGGAGGAGGGAAAGAGAAGGAAAAAGAGGCGCGAGGGAAGAGGUCUUGAAGGUCGCCGGCGUUGAGAGCUCCGAUGAGCUGGUCCGGUGGCCUUGCGCGCGGCGGGCGCGGGUGCUCGAGGCGGCAAGGCAACCGGUGCUGGGGGCCCCGGCGAGCUCCGACCUGAACGAAGGGGACAGGCGGCGUGGUCUUCCUGCUAGGCGUGGAGGACGGUAGAAGCGGGGAACGGUGCCAUGGCAGGUGGCUGGAGGAGGCGCGGUCGGGGACUAGCGCCGCAGAGGGAGGCGCGCGAGAUCGAGAGGGGGAGAUGGAGAUGGGGAACGAGGGGUACGGGCGAGAGGAGGGGUCGAGCGAGGCAGGCGCUCUGCCUCCUGGCGGCGCGAGGGGAAGACAAGAGAGAGCGUGGUGAGGGGAUAGGGUUAGAAGGGAGAGAGUGGGCCUAGGGUAGGAUUAGGUGGGCCAAAAAGGCCGGCCCAGAAGAGAAGGGGCUGCGCCUGGAUCCUGGCUGGGCUCUUUCUCUCUCUCACACUCUCUUCUCUUAACCAAAAAGAGAGAGAGAAAAAAUAAAUAUAGAUAGAAGAAGAAGAAAAAAAAUUAAGAGAGGGUUAGGGAUGGAAUUCGGGCACGGGGACAAUUUUUACGGACUCGUAAAGAUGUGCACGGUCCACGAAAAUUAGGAGAGGCCUGAUUGCAAGAAUUUAAUUCAAAGUCAUUUGAAUUUAAUUCAAAUGGUUUGAACAAGGACUAGGAAUUAGAGGUGUCCAAAAAUGUUCGGAUUUUUGGUGGAGCUCCGGAAAAUGAUGAAAGAAAUAUAAGGCAAGGUUAGAGAGUCAACACUUGAAGAAGAAAAAGGCCAAGGGAUUUAAUAUGCAAGUGUGUUAAGGUGAAUUCCAAAUAAAUGGAAUAUUUAUAAUAGCUCCAUAAAUAUUAGGAGGAUAAUGUUAUAAAGAGAAGUCACUCUUCCCUCGAUUUAAAUGGAUCGAAGAUCCACACAAGUUAUUUAGUGGGUUUUAAGACGGGUUGCAUAUUGACAUGAUGACAUGAUGCAAGGCACAUGAUGCAAAGAGGAAAGCAACAAGCAAACAAAACACAUGACGAAACCCGGAAUCCAUGGAUGGCAUCUGAAUCUUCGGUCUUGGGGCGUCACAGCCUAACUCAUGAGGUACUACCCCAACUGCCUUCUCCAGAUAUGCAGUUUCAAUUCCUAGAACAGGUGUUGCAACAGCAAGUGGUGCGUCGCACAUCGAAUUCUUUGGUGCAAGUAUUGGUGAAGUGGAGCAACACUCCCGUGGAGAUGGCAACAUGGGAAGACAAGGUGCAACUCAAGCAAAAGUUUCCCAGAGCACCGGCUUGGGGGCAAGCUGUUUCUAACAGGGGAGGGAUUGCCAGCAGCAACGGUCAAGGUGAAGAAGCUACAGAUGAUCAAGCACCAGGAGUGGGCCGGCCCAGAAGACAGCCUCGCCUGCCGGCUCGGCUGGCUGGCCCGGAAUGAGCCCAUGCGGGCAAUGUACUUAAGCUUGUCGAUAGCGCGUGAGUGGCUGGCGAACGACUGGCAGGAAUAGCUACUUUCCUCUUUCGUGUUGUAACAGUUAAACCUCCUUCUCCCUCCUCUCCAUGGAUAUGUGAAUUGUAGCUCGAGCUGUGAUAAUGGAGGAUAGUUGAGGAACUGUGUUUGAGUGCUAACAUUGCCUCCCAAACAUAUUCCUCAAGUCGAUGGGCAUAAGUGCGCUGCUACCUGCUGCCUACCUGUGAUUUAGAUUUCAUACAGUUGGCAAAAGAUUUGACCGCGGUUUGUAUGGAGAAGUAUACAGGAGCAGGGGCCAUUAGAAAACUGAACUGGGCCUCAUUUGGUCUUCCAGUAUGGUGGAUGGAUUAUGGAGGGGCCGCCGUUUGGUAUUCCAGUACAGUGGGUGCGUGCCACACAACCUGAUAGAAGAAAUAAAGAUGACUUGGCUUAGGCGAUCACAUAUAAUUUUUCCGCAGACUUGCUUAGGUGGAUGGUUGCACGUUGAUUGACGAUGCGGAUAGCCUGCAUAUCAAGGGAAAUAGGUUAGUGAAGAUGAACUAUUUUAGAUAAUACUAGGGCAUGGGCCCGUGCGUUGCAACGGGACAAAAAAAAGAUUACUCCCUAUGUCCCAUAAUAUAAGAAUGAGUCUGAGUAGUAUCACACACCUUUUUCCUAUUCCUUGUCCUACCUGAUCCUUAUCGAUGGUUGUUGUUGAUAUGUGAAAAUAGAGAAAAGAGAACAAAUAUUACAUAAUCGGUUUUAGUGUUAUGCUAAUUUCCAACAUUAGGUCAAGUGGUGUAUAUAAUUGUACUACCCUUAUUUUAUAUAUAUGUAAUUUUUUGUGUGAGUUGCAUACUAAUUUUUUAUGAAAAUUGAUGCUAUUUUCCUCUAACUUGUUAUUCAAAAAUUCAUAUAUCAAAUAAAGUUUUAUUAUAAAAUUUAGCUGCUAGUUUCUUAGAAGAUUAUUGAAAAUAACGAUUUCUCAUGAAUAGAUUGAACCUCCGUAAGAAGAUAACGUAAGAUCGGAGUUGUAACAACCCGAGACCAAUUUUGUCCUCAUGAUAAUGUUUAUUUUAUUUUAUUUUACAUUUCAUCAUGAUUGAAUAUUUCACACCAAAUUAAAACUAUGGACAUUUUGGAAAAUCAUUUGAGCUUUUCUUGUAUUUUAUUUAAUUGCUUUUCCAAUUUCCAUUCCAACCUUCUCCAAAAUCCUUUGCAUUUUCAAUUACAAGUUUGGCCCCCAAAACUUUUUCCAAAAUUCUCCAAUUUCGGUGAAACUUUUUUUUGUGGACCUAAGUAUAAAUCAUGCAGACCACAGGAAAAGUUCAUAUUUUGUCGACCUUCUUCUAUUUACUUUUUUCAUCUAAUUUCUGUAAAGAAAAGAUCAACCGGCCAGGCCCGGCCCAAUAAGGCCUAAACCUAUCCCCGAUCGCCAACAACUCCCUCGAUCCUAUCCUCCCAAUCCCAGCGCCGCCACACACGCUCACAAAGAGGAGCGGGAGCCCUGCCCGCUGCCGUUCUGUCCUCCCUACUCCGAUCAUCUCCGCCCUAUGCCUCGCUCCAGGAGUUCCGCGAGCUGCGCCUCCGCUUCCUCCCCCCGGCGACGCCAUCUUGAGCGGCCGCUGAAGCCCUUUGCCAUUCGUGCCGAACUGCCUACCUUCUCCGGGAAUCUCUGUCCCCAGCCUUGCUCCGGGAGCCCCGCGCGUCGGACUACCGGUCAUGUCUGCCGCCUCCUUCUCUUUUUCUCUUGACUCGUUCUGUGUUUGUUGAUCCAAGAGGCUAGUUGUUGAUAUUACACGCAAUUUGCGUAGGUAUAUAAAUUGGUAGGAUUUCACGAAAGCAAUCGAGGUGGGAUUAUUAUUGUGAGUACGUGUGAAAAUCAGAUAAGGUACCUAAACAUGCUUGCAGGCCGAAACGUGCGUGCAGGCCCAUUGAGAGGAUGUGGAUGCAGACCAAUUGGAUGGACAAAAAAUUUAGUACCACCUCGCAAUUGGACGGACUUUCGACCAAAACUACCGGAGAAAACAUCUAGUGCGGGACGAAACCAAG
rnacentral:lncRNA from 1 species